GCAUUGCUGAUGAGUCCCAAACAGGACGAAACAACUAGCCAAUGC
rnacentral:hammerhead_ribozyme from 1 species